GGGACCCCGCCCCCGCCCCGCGCGGGACGCGGAGCUGGCCGAGGCCUAGGAGCAGCCGCAGCGGAGCGUUCCCCGGGUGCUCGCUCCCCCGCGCCGCAGCGUGAGCGGUGGGGAGACUCUGUUUAAAGUAGUUUUAGUGGCCUCCUUAAGCCUGCGUCCGCCCCGCCGUGUUCCUACCGUGUCCCGGGGUCCUCAGCAGCGCCAGGCACAAACUAGUCUUCAUAGCUGUUGCACGGGUGACCGAAUGAAGGUAUAAACUGGGGGCGUCGAGGGACCCCCCCCCAGGUCUUUCCACGUCACCAGAUUGUCCCAUUUUGCAUCCCGCCUGCAUUGGACAAGCCUCCCUCCAUCCCUGUGGCCUUGACAGCUGAGGAGGGUAUCCAACUUUUGAAUGUGUGCCAAUUUGAUAGGUGGGAGAUGCACAGGGCAGGGACCGUGCCCGUCUUGUCCAGCUUCCGGCCCGUACGUACCCAGCACUAGUAGGCAUUCAACGUGCAUGGAAAGGAACUAGUAUUUUAAUCUUCAUUGUGACAGUAAGAAAUCUGAAACAAAAGAGAUUAAAUAAACGAUUUGCCAAAGUCAUCGUUGCCGCGCGUCACAGAUGGACAUGGAUCUAGAUGUCCCACUUCUGCCGCCGCAGCGCCUGGCUGGGGACUCGCAGCCCCCGUGCCGACUUCCUGGUUCAUUUUCUUGCCUUCGAAAUUUGGUGCCACAGUGAAGCCCUGUUCUCAGAAGUGCCCCGGUUAGACAGCGCCAUUGAUUGGAAAUUGAUUUCACAGAGAAAAGCAUCAGGUGGUCCUGAUGCAAGAGGGCACUGAACUGUCCUGCUGCUCUGGGCUGGAUCCUAAAGAACCGACUGCAUAUGCAAAGGGACAAUGGCCGGAGCAUAUAUCAAAAUAGAACUUGGACCCACGACCUGCAACAAGACCUGCCCAAGAACCAACCCCCUUAACUGCGAUCAACACCGUGGGAUGCCAGCCUGUCGUGAGUCAGACCUGCAGGAAGCCAAAUGGCCGUCUCAAGCGACAAUCCAGGAAGCUAAACAGUAACUCAGUAACAAGCCAAAAUGCACAGGACUUGAUUAAUAACCAAGAGCUUUCCUAAUUUUUGCCACUGCUUCUGACUUAGGGCCGACCAGAGAAAGCCAGAUAUGUAUCCCUAACCAAUCGCACGAGUGGCCCCACUUCUAGUUGGCGGCCAGCAGGGGAAGCAGCGUCUAAAAUGUGCGUACCUGCGGCCUGCCCAGUUCCCACUCCACAGCUUGCCCGCUCCGCUCCGCUGCCGCCUGCGCAUCUCGCCAAAGCGCAGCGGUGGUGGCAACUCCCUCGCUAUAGCAAGUUCAGGAAAAAUAGCCUUCGCUUUUCUCACUUGGUUGGUCUUCGCUUAUUUCCAGUUAGCAGGACUGAGGCGAUUUAAAUACACAUCCAUGUAUGCGUAAAAUAUGCACACACCCACAGAAAGCACAGAGAUACUUGUUAUUUUUAAAGCUAGUUUUAAUCUGCAAAUAACUAAAAUUUUAAUUGCAGAAUUUUUUGGCAAAUAUCUAAGUAAAAGUGUGUCUAAGCCAAGCGUGGGCACUUUUCCAGACACUACUGUAUCCAAAAUGUCUUGGCUCUAAAUUUGCAGAGAGUUAUCUUCAAAGUGUAACCUCUGCUUUGGUUUGAUUGAGAGAGGGGGGCUAGUCCCCGGGAGGGGAGCACCCCCCUUCUCCAGCACACUGCUGCCUCGGGAUGGUGAAACCAGACAGAUGCCAGACACUUCGGGCUGGGGGCUGCGGGCCGUGCAUAGCAGAGACCUUUCUCUCUUCCUCACAUGGGCUUCCACAGUCUGAAACCACAUGUGGGCAGAGACACAGAGGGCUUCGGAUACCGCCGGACAAGAGGGACCCUGGGGUCAGGGUAGGAAGGGGAGGGCUCGUGAGGUCACUGUGAGGUGGGGAGGAAUGAACCAACCGAAGAUCGAAUUGGUCCCUGUGAACUAAAAUAAAUUAAGGUAGCCUGCAAAUAAUUCAGCUAUGACCAAGCAUAUAACAUUUUUAUUAAAACUUUCUAUCUAGGCCGGGCGCGGUGGCUCACGCCUGUAAUCCUAGCACUCUG